UACGUAGGUGGCAAGCGUUAUCCGGAUUUAUUGGGUGUAAAGGGCGUGUAGGCGGGAGCGCAAGUCAGAUGUGAAAACUCAGGGCUCAACCCUGAGCCUGCAUUUGAAACUGUGUUUCUUGAGUGCUGGAGAGGCACUCGGAAUUCCGUGUGUAGCGGUGAAAUGCGUAGAUAUACGGAGGAACACCAGUGGCGAAGGCGGAUUGCUGGACAGUAACUGACGCUGAGGCGCGAAAGCGUGGGGAGCAAACAGG
rnacentral:rRNA from 1 species